GCUUAUGGCCACCCGCCUGGUUCACGGCUGAUCUCGUUUGAUCUCGGAAGCUAAGAUAGGUUGGGCCUGGUUAGUACUUUGAUGGGAGACCGCCUGGGAAUACCAGGUGCUGUAAGCU
rnacentral:rRNA from 1 species